rnacentral:rRNA from 1 species
UACGUAGGGCGCGAGCGUUGUCCGGAAUCAUUGGGCGUAAAGAGCUCGUAGGCGGCCGGUUGCGUCUGCUGUGAAAUCCCGGGGCUUAACCCCGGGCGUGCAGUGGAUACGGGCUGGCUGGAGGCAGGCAGGGGAGAAUGGAAUUCCCGGUGUAGCGGUGAAAUGCGCAGAUAUCGGGAGGAACACCGGUGGCGAAGGCGGUUCUCUGGGCCUUACCUGACGCUGAGGAGCGAAAGCGUGGGGAGCAAACAGG